UACGUAGGGGGCAAGCGUUGUCCGGAUUUAUUGGGCGUAAAGAGCGUGUAGGCGGUUUGGUAGGUCCGUUGUGAAAACUCGAGGCUCACCUCGAGACGCCGGCGGAAACCAUCAGGCUAGAGUCCGGAAGAGGAGAGUGGAAUUCCUGGUGUAGCGGUGAAAUGCGCAGAUAUCAGGAAGAACACCCGUGGCUAAGGCGGCUCUCUAGUACGGUACUGACGCUGAGACGCGAAAGCGUGGGGAGCGAACAGG
rnacentral:rRNA from 1 species